rnacentral:sRNA from 1 species
CCCUAGCCCCGAUUGAAACGGAAAUCCUUUUUAAAGCUUUUGCAAAAAGCUUUAAAAAGAUUGCAGUGCAAAGCGGGAAACAGC